rnacentral:rRNA from 1 species
AGUGAACGCUGGCGGUAGGCCUAACACAUGCAAGUCGAAUGGCAGCACAGUAAGAGCUUGCUCUUACGGGUGGCGAGUGGCGGACGGGUGAGGAAUACAUCGGAAUCUACUUUUUCGUGGGGGAUAACGUAGGGAAACUUACGCUAAUACCGCAUACGACCUACGGGUGAAAGCAGGGGAUCUUCUGACCUUGCGCGAUUGAAUGAGCCGAUGUCGGAUUAGCUAGUUGGCGGGGUAAAGGCCCACCAAGGCGACGAUCCGUAGCUGGUCUGAGAGGAUGAUCGGCCACACUGGAGCUGAAACAGGGUCAAGACUACUAAGGGAGGGCGCAGUGGGGAAUAUGGGACAGUGGGCGCAAACAUGAUACAGCGAUACCGAGUGGGUGAAGAAGGCCUUCGGGUUGUGAAGCCGUUUUGUGGGGAAAGAAAAGCAGCAGGUUAAGACCCCGCUGUUCUGACGGUACCCAAAGAAUAAGCACCGGCUAACUUCGUG